ACGGAGAGUUUGAUCCUGGCUCAGGACGAACGCUGGCGGCGUGCUUAACACAUGCAAGUCGAACGAUGAAGCCCAGCUUGCUGGGUGGAUUAGUGGCGAACGGGUGAGUAACACGUGAGUAACCUGCCCUUGACUCUGGGAUAAGCGCUGGAAACGGCGUCUAAUACCGGAUACGACCUGCCCCGGCAUCGGGUGCGGGUGGAAAGUUUUUCGGUCAAGGAUGGACUCGCGGCCUAUCAGGUAGUUGGUGAGGUAAUGGCUCACCAAGCCGACGACGGGUAGCCGGCCUGAGAGGGUGACCGGCCACACUGGGACUGAGACACGGCCCAGACUCCUACGGGAGGCAGCAGUGGGGAAUAUUGCACAAUGGGCGAAAGCCUGAUGCAGCAACGCCGCGUGGGGGAUGACGGCCUUCGGGUUGUAAACCUCUUUUAGUAGGGAAGAAGGGCUUCGGCUUGACGGUACCUGCAGAAAAAGCACCGGCUAACUACGUGCCAGCAGCCGCGGUAAUACGUAGGGUGCAAGC
rnacentral:rRNA from 1 species